UUUUUCAGAUUUGUUUACAAGGGGGUAUAGACAUUCAAGCAGUAAAUGUUGUAAUCAAUUUUGAUUUCCCAAAAAACUCAGAAACCUAUCUGCACAGAGUUGGUCGUUCUGGAAGAUAUGGGCACCUUUGAUUGGCUGUUAACCUAAUCACAUAUGAGGAUCGCUUUAACUUGUACAAGAUUGAACAAGAGCUUGGGACCGAAAUCAAGCAAAUUCCUCCACACAUAGAUCAGGGUAUCUACUGCCGGUACCAAAGUGUUCUCUGGUGA